rnacentral:tRNA from 1 species
CGAUUUAGCUCAGUGGUAGAGCAACUGAUUUGUAAUCAGUAGGUCGGGGGUUCAAGCCCCUCAAUCGGC